rnacentral:rRNA from 1 species
GUCGAGAAUCUUUCACAAUGGGGGCAACCCUGAUGGAGCGACGCCGCGUGGAGGAUAAGGUCUUCGGAUUGUAAACUCCUGUCAUGCGUGAACAAGGUUGCUUGGUUAAUACCUGGGCAAAUUGAUGGUAACGCAAGAGGAAGAGACGGCUAACUCUGUGCCAGCAGCCGCGGUAAUACAGAGGUCUCAAGCGUUGUUCGGAAUCACUGGGCGUAAAGGGUGCGUAGGUGGCGUGGUAAGUCAGAUGUGAAAGCCCGGGGCUCAACCUCGGAACGGCAUCCGAUACUGCCAUGCUAGAGUACUGGAGAGGUGACUAGAAUUCUCGGUGUAGCAGUGAAAUGCGUAGAUAUCGAGAGGAAUACCAAAGGCGUAGGCAGGUCACUGGACAGUUACUGACACUGAGGCACGAAGGCCAGGGGAGCGAACGGGAUUAGAUACCCGUGUAGUCC